rnacentral:tRNA from 1 species
GCCCCGGUAGUGUAGCCCGGCCCAGCAUCCCGGAUUUUCGAUCCGGCGACCCGGGUUCGAAUCCCGGCCGGGGCACCA